GAUGAACGCUAGCUACAGGCUUAACACAUGCAAGUCGAGGGGAAACGAUAGAGAAAGCUUGCUUUUUCUAGGCGUCGACCGGCGCACGGGUGAGUAACGCGUAUCCAACCUGCCCAUCACUUGGGGAUAACCUUGCGAAAGUAAGACUAAUACCCAAUGACGUCCAUAGAAGACAUCUGAAAUGGAUUAAAGAUUUAUCGGUGAUGGAUGGGGAUGCGUCUGAUUAGCUUGUUGGCGGGGUAACGGCCCACCAAGGGGACGAUCAGUAGGGGUUCUGAGAGGAAGGUCCCCCACAUUGGAACUGAGACACGGUCCAAACUCCUAAGGGAGGCAGCAGUGAGGAAUAUUGGUCAAUGGACGAGAGUCUGAACCAGCCAAGUAGCGUGCAGGAUGACGGCCCUAUGGGUUGUAAACUGCUUUUAUAAGGGAAUAAAGUGGGAGUCGUGACUCCUUUUGCAUGUACCUUAUGAAUAAGGACCGGCUAAUUCCGUGCCAGCCGCCGCCGUAA
rnacentral:rRNA from 1 species